rnacentral:rRNA from 1 species
AACGAACGCUGGCGGCAUGCCUAACACAUGCAAGUCGAACGAGACCUUCGGGUCUAGUGGCGCACGGGUGCGUAACGCGUGGGAACCUGCCCUUAGGUUCGGAAUAACUCCCCGAAAGGGGUGCUAAUACCGGAUAAUGUCUUCGGACCAAAGAUUUAUCGCCUUUGGAUGGGCCCGCGUUGGAUUAGCUAGUUGGUAGGGUAAAAGCCUACCAAGGCGACGAUCCAUAGCUGGUCUGAGAGGAUGAUCAGCCACACUGGGACUGAGACACGGCCCAGACUCCUACGGGAGGCGGCAGUGGGGAAUAUUGGACAAUGGGCGAAAGGCUGAUCCAGCAAUGCCGCGUGAGUGAUGAAGGCCUUAGGGUUGUAAAGCUCUUUUACCCGGGAUGAUAAUGACGGUACCGGGAGAAUAAGCCCCGGCUAACUCCGUG